rnacentral:rRNA from 1 species
AUGGCCGAAACGAUUUUUGUUGGUGGGCUGAAACUGGGAGGUGCGGGUGCCCGGUGGUCGGAGGUGCGGGCACCCGGGGUGGUCCGGGGCAAACAGCCCGGGGGUGCGGGUGCCCGGGGGUUCGGGGUGCGGGCACCCGGGGUGGUCAGUGGGGUUGUACGGGGGUGUCCGGGUGCCCGGGGUUUGAGGUUCGGGUGCCCGGGGGUCACGGAUUUGGGCGGAAGUUCAUGGGAAAAUGGAAGAAAUUGGUGGAUUUCAUGGAGGGAAAGGUGGAGAUGGAUGGGGGGAAGGCUAGAUCCACUUGAAACCAAGCAAAUCCAUGGAUCAAAUCCAACAAAAUCUCAUCAAACCAACAAAUCACAAAAAAAAUUGGGGCUAUUUUUGGUGGGGAAUUUUCAAAAUUGGGGAAGAACACAACAAAAUUAG